AAUGUUUGCACGUCUAAAGGAGCGUACAUCUAGUAUACUCGAAGAGUGUCGGUGGUCUGUNGUAUACUAGAUGUACGCUCCUUUAGACGUGCAAACA
rnacentral:pre_miRNA from 1 species